UCUAUCCCUUUGAAGAGGUGGGUUUGAUUUACAUCAGCCAUCAGGAAGCAAAAAUAUGGUCCUUCAAGCUUUUAUUGCCUUUUUAUUAUUCCUCGUGACGCACAGAAAUAUCAUCCAAAACAUCAGCAAUUACUUUGAAGGUGCGUGUCCCAGAGGUGUGGGGAUGGGGUGUUUUCUAACCUGAUAAGUCGGGGUGUUUCUGCCAGGCAGGCCCAGGAGCAUCAGCAAUACCGCAGCUGAUUCAAAAGCAGAGAUGAUCUUUCAAGCCUCAUUUUCAUCUCCAUCAGCACCCUCUCGGACACCUUAUGCCCGAGCCAGUUCCCAUCCAUUUUUUAGGAAUAGGUGGAAUGGUGGCCAGGUAUAUGGUGAUUUCGAUUUCUGCCGGAGGUGGGCUCGUCACAAACGUGUCAGAGAGGAAACCAGCCUGACGCUUCGGAAUGGCCAUCUACUUUGGGGCUGGAACAGGGAUGCCAGGAGAAGGCUGAAGCCACGCUCCCCUGGUACCAGGGAACCCACUGAGCUCUGACCCGGAGUGACCACAGCCUUCCUUCUGGAAAUUCUUCCUGGUGGGGCAGCGUGGCAGACGGCAUUUUCCAAGAUGGCUGCAACAAGGUCUCCCAU